rnacentral:lncRNA from 1 species
GUUGCAGGAAUUGGAGACGAGGCUAGAUCGAGCUAAACAUCUAGCAGUGGAAGAGCCUUAUAGUAUGCUUUAGGCCUAUCAAAUGAUAUAGCGAAACCCCAUCAGAGAAACUUCUUUCAACUUGAUCUUUGGGACUGAAGCUAUCAUGCCACUUGAAGUUGGCCUUUCUUCACUUAGAGUGAAGAAAUUUAAGGAAGAAAGCAACUCAGAUGACUUG